GCCUUAUGCUCUAAAGAAGGAAAAACAUUGCCUAAUCGCUUUCAUAUUUUCUGUUGUUGCUCAGUCCUAGAAUUCCUUGGAUGCUCACCUGUCUUCUACAGGUGCUUUUGGCCACUGCGGGGCAGGUGCCGCGACCUGGCCCGUCGGCAAGAUGCUGCAGAAAGAGUAAGGGACCAGUCCACAAACCCCGGAAGUCUGCAACCGAGCCCCCGGGAAAUGAGCACCCUGGAUUUGGGCAGUUCCUGCCUUGAAAUCCUAGGCGAGGAGGACGAGAUAAAUGGCAGAAUUCUUGCUAACUCAGAGCCUGUCUCUCUCCCACGGAAGCCGGCUUUACUCAGAAGCAAACAGACUUGCUUUCUGCUUUGCCCACCUCCACAUUCACGGGGCCCCAGGCUCCAAAGACUGAAGUCCGGGCGCUGCCCGGGGGCAGGGGGUGCCCCGAGCCACCGCGCUGCUCCGCGAUGCCUCCCAGCGGCCGGGGGUUCAAGCCGAGACUCCGGGCGGGAAGGCGGGGUGCUUGGGGAGGAACUCCGAAAGCGCUCUCGGCCCCGUAGCCUCUUUCCACCCUCUCCCUUCCAGAAAGGAUGCGCCCGAGGAGGACUUUAAAGUCUUCCCUUCCAAAGGGGAAUCACAUCUAGAAAGCUUUUCUCAGAAGGAGAGACAGAUUAUUCGAUUGGAAAGAGAAGCAAAUUUAAGAGCAAAACGAGGGAGGAUCAAAGGGUCGGUUCGUGUGAACUGAAGACGGGAGCCUUUCCAGGGGGGCAGGACCUUUUCCGAUUUCGGGCAAGACAUUUUGGAGCCAGCGCGCCAGUGAGGAUCAAAAUCAAGAAGGCAAGGGACUGGAUGCUGUUACACCUAGAAUCAUCACAGUUACUGCAAGAAGUCGGCGCACAUUUUAGGCUCUGAGAGCCAUCAGUCUGCUCCACCACCAACCUGCGGUGGGAAAACAGCCUCAGACCAUCCCUACAGGAAGGGGCACAGCGGCAUUCUCCCAAGACUUGAUCUAUGAAGCCAGCGGCUGCCCAGACUGACCGUGGGCAGCAGGCUGCGAAGCCCGCUCCCGCAGCCCUGACUCACGCAGGGGCACCGCGCACCCCGGGGACCAGCGCCGUGAUCGUUCCCGCCGAGUCCUUUCAGAAGGGGGACACAGCCAGC
ensembl:lncRNA